rnacentral:rRNA from 1 species
UGCCAGCAGCCGCGGUAAUACAGAGGGUGCGAGCGUUAAUCGGAUUUACUGGGCGUAAAGCGUGCGUAGGCGGCUUCGUAAGUUGGAUGUGAAGUCCCCGAGCUUAACUUGGGAAUUGCAUUCGAUACUGGUUGGCUAGAGUAUGGGAGAGGAUGGUAGAAUUCCAGGUGUAGCGGUGAAAUGCGUAGAGAUCUGGAGGAAUACCGAUGGCGAAGGCAGCCAUCUGGCCUAAUACUGACACUGAGGUGCGAAAGCAUGGGGAGCAAACAGGAUUAGAUA